UUGCCCAAUUGCUUAACUUUGAUCUUGUGCAACUGAACUUGCCCUCAGAGGUUCCCUGGACUAUUGAGAGCCCAAGGAGAAGACUAAUUCUCAAAUUAACCCUUGAGCAAAACCUGCUGGGAAUUCUCCCACUCAAAUCCCAACAUUCCACUGAAGCUCUCCUGUUGUCAAAGCGAAUGACACAACACCUUCUCCUGGGAUUGUCCAGAAUGAAAUCAACUCAGCUCGGCUAUAGUGUAGAAAUGUUGCUGACAUCUGCCAGAAUGACGUCAGAAAUUCAGAUGGAAAGGAGAACUAAUCCAAGUGUCAGUGGUAUCAAACAGAGCAAUGGUAGAGGAUGGUACAGCUGAAUGGUAUGCUUUGGCAUAGACAACAUGGUAUUAAAUAUAAAAAAAAUUUUAAUCCA